CAUAAGCUUGGUCCUGACUUUACUGUCAGCUCUGAUGAGAUUUAUACAUGCAAGUUUCCGCACCCCCGUGAGAAUGCCCUACUUAUCCCCUCGUCGGGGAAAAAGGAGCUGAUAUCAGGCACAAUACCUAUUAGCCCAUGACAUCUUGUUUAGCCACACCCCCACGGGCACUCAGCAGUAAUAAACAUUAAGCCAUAAGUGAAAACUUGACUUAGUUAACAUCAAGAGGGCCGGUUAAACUCGUGCCAGCCACCGCGGUUAUACGAGAGGCCCAAGUUGACAGAGUCCGGCGUAAAAGGUGGUUAAUGAAAACUAAACUAAAGCUGAACACCUCCAGAGCCGUUAUACGUAUCCGGAAGCAGGAAACCCUCUGACGAAAGUAGCUUUAACCUUAGAUGAACCCACGAAAGCUAGGACACAAACUGGGAUUAGAUACCCCACUAUGCCUAGCCGUAAACAUAAAUACCUCUCCCCACACUCGGUAUUCGCCAGGGAACAACGAGCCCCAGCUUAAAACCCAAAGGACUUGGCGGUGCUUUAGACCCCCCUAGAGGAGCCUGUUCUAGAACCGAUACUCCCCGUUCAACCUCACCCUCUCUUGUUUCUCCCGCCUAUAUACCGCCGUCGUCAGCUUACCCUGUGAAGGCCCAAUAGUAAGCAAAAUUGGCUAAGCCCAAAACGUCAGGUCGAGGUGUAGCGUACGAGAGGGGAAGAAAUGGGCUACAUUUACUGCCUCAGUAAAUACGGAUCCUGCACUGAAAUGAGCAUCUGAAGGAGGAUUUAGCAGUAAGGGGGGAGUAGAGCGCCCCCCUGAAAACGGCCCUGAAGCGCGCACACACCGCCCGUCACUCUCCCCAAGGACCACGCCUAACAAUAAAUAAUGCAUUAAUUCCCACAAGGGGAGGCAAGUCGUAACAUGGUAAGUGUACCGGAAGGUGCACUUGGAAGAACC
rnacentral:rRNA from 1 species